rnacentral:lncRNA from 1 species
UCUCAAACUAUAGCCUCGCUGUCUCUUUUCAUUCUCCCAUCCACUGUGUUUAUUAAAUACCCAGAUGCCAUUGUGGGUUUCUUUUGUGUCAGACCCAUUUUGCUCUUUGCUUAGGAAAAGCAUGUAUUCUCAGAGGUGACAGGAGGAAAGUUCUCAUCUUUGGAAUAUUUGUAUUCCACAAGUUGGCUUGGUAACUUCACCUCCUAUGAAAUGAAAUGCAUAGUACACUGUAGCCAACUGUAUCUACACUGCAGCAGACCUGGAUGCUGAGUUCUUGGUAGCUGGUCAUGGCACAGUUACACAAAGUUCCGAUUACAUGACUGAGUGAUC